UUGGAGGGCAAGUCUGGUGCCAGCAGCCGCGGUAAUUCCAGCUCCAAUAGCGUAUAUUAAAGUUGUUGCAGUUAAAAAGCUCGUAGUUGAAUUUCGGGAUCGACGGGUCGGUCGCGCCUCUGGUGUGUACUGGCCCUGUCGGUUUCUCCCUUCUGACGAACCACGAUGUCAUUAAUUUGGUGUCGUGGGAAAUCAGGACUGUUACUUUGAAAAAAUUAGAGUGUUUAAAGCAGGCAUUCGCUUGAAGACAUUAGCAUGGAAUAAUGAAAUAGGACGUUUGAUCUUAUUUUGUUGGUUUCUAAGAUCGACGUAAUGAUUAAUAGGGAUAGUUGGGGGCAUUAGUAUUCAAUUGUCAGAGGUGAAAUUCUUGGAUUUAUUGAAGACUAACUACUGCGAAAGCAUUUGCCAAGGAUGUUUUCAUUAAUCAAGAACGAAAGUUAGGGGAUCGAAGACGAUCAGAUACCGUCGUAGUCUUAACCAUAAACUAUGCCGACUAGGGAUCGGAUGAUGUUAAUUUUUUAAUGACUCAUUCGGCGCCUUACGGGAAACCAAAGUGUUUGGGU
rnacentral:rRNA from 1 species